AUUGAACGCUGGCGGCAGGCCUAACACAUGCAAGUCGAGCGAGCGGCGGACGGGAGAGUUAUGUAGGGGGACUGCCCGAUCGGUGGAGAUACAUACUGGAAAAGGUGGCUAAUACCGCAUACUAUCGGAUAACCAACAGGGGAUUAGCUAGUAGGUGGUGUAUAGGCACACAUAGGAGACGAUCUCUAGCUGGUCUGAGAGGAUGAACCGCCACACUGGGACUGAGACACGGCCUAGACGCCGACGGAGGCAGCAGUGGGGAAUAUUGCACAAGUGGCGCAAGCCUGAUGCAGCCAUGCCGCGUGUAUGAAGAAGGCCUUAGGGUGGGAAAGUACUUUCAGCGGAGAGGCGUUACCCGCAGAAGAAGCACCGGCUAACCCCGUGCCAGCAGCCGCGGUAAUAC
rnacentral:rRNA from 1 species